UACGAAGGGGGCUAGCGUUGCUCGGAAUCACUGGGCGUAAAGGGUGCGUAGGCGGGUCUUUAAGUCAGGGGUGAAAUCCUGGAGCUCAACUCCAGAACUGCCUUUGAUACUGAGAAGCUUGAGUCCGGGAGAGGUGAGUGGAACUGCGAGUGUAGAGGUGAAAUUCGUAGAUAUUCGCAAGAACACCAGUGGCGAAGGCGGCUCACUGGCCCAUAACUGACGCUGAGGCACGAAAGCGUGGGGAGCAAACAGG
rnacentral:rRNA from 1 species